GACAGAGGUGCCGAGCGUUAGGCGGAAUCACUGGGCUUAAAGCGCGUGUAGGCGGACGUCUAAGUGCCUUGUGAAAUCCCACGGCUCAACCGUGGAACGGCUGGGCAUACUGGGCGUCUUGAGCCACCUAGGGGCGAGCGGAACAAACGGUGGAGCGGUGAAAUGUGUAGAUAUCGUUUGGAACGCCGACGGUGAAAACAGCUCGCUGGGGGUGUGCUGACGCUGAGACGCGAAAGCCAGGGGAGCGAACGGG
rnacentral:rRNA from 1 species